GCGGAGGAAAAGAAACCAACCGGGAUUGCCUCAGUAACGGCGAGUGAAGCGGCAAGAGCUCAAAUUUGAAAUCUGGCCCCCUCGGGGUCCGAGUUGUAAUUUGCAGAGGAUGCUUCGGGUGCGGUCCCCAUCUAAGUGCCCUGGAACGGGCCGUCAUAGAGGGUGAGAAUCCCGUCUGGGAUGGGCGGCCGCGCCCGUGUGAAGCUCCUUCGACGAGUCGAGUUGUUUGGGAAUGCAGCUCUAAGCGGGUGGUAAAUUUCAUCUAAAGCUAAAUACUGGCCGGAGACCGAUAGCGCACAAGUAGAGUGAUCGAAAGAUGAAAAGCACUUUGAAAAGAGAGUUAAACAGCACGUGAAAUUGUUGAAAGGGAAGCGUUGUCCACCAGACUCGCCCGGGGGGGUUCAGCCGGCACGUGUGCCGGUGUACUCCUCUCCGGGCGGGCCAGCAUCGGUUUGGGCGGCUGGUGAAAGGCCCCGGGAAUGUACCACCCUCCGGGGUGUCUUAUAGCCCGGGGUGCCAUACAGCCAGCCUGGACCGAGGCCCGCGCUUCGGCGAGGAUG
rnacentral:rRNA from 1 species